rnacentral:lncRNA from 1 species
CGGGAGUGAGGUUCCAGGAUGCCACAGCCCUGGGCAAUGAAGACAACAAGUUCAUCUUGAAUAGAUGGAUCUGAUUCACCUGACCUUAGGAGGAAUACACUGAAUUAUUUUUCAUGCUAGAGCAUAUUCCCAGGGCGCUGGGGCAGAGACCACGUCCUAAACCCAACUCAAAUGUGGGCUGUGCUCUUGGCUGAAGAAAAGCAUGGAAAGCAGUUGGGGACCUGCAUCCCCAAGACUGUCAGCCCUUCCAGAUAGCUGUGCCCUCAGCCCAGGAGGACUCAGCCAAUGAAGACUCAGCUAAUGAAAGCUCAGCAUGGAGGUGGCAAAGGGCUGCAGCCCCACCGAACUCUUUGCCUCCAGGCGCUGUGGUGGUGAAGAACUGAAAUACACAAACCUUGGGGCUUCCCCUUGUCCCUGAAACUGCAGAAGAUG